UUGUGGUCUUAUUCUUAACCUGGCACAACUACGGGAUAUGUCUUGAGCCUUUGUUCAAAUGUAUUAUCGCAUAGCUGCACACAAGUUCUUCUUCUUUUACGAUCCUCAUAGACGAGGGAAAGGCUGCAUAAAAAAAGCGCUACUUAGCAAUUGUCUCCAGGAAUUAAUGGAAAUACAUCAGGUACAAUAUUCAUGAGUAUAUCUUGUAGAUAUACUUUCCUUCGUUAAACUUCUGCGCACGAAAGUGAGGAAGAAGUCACCGACAGUGAGAAAGCCGAAAAUUAGUUUUUCUUGACAUCUGCACAAUGUAUAUGUGUGAGUGUUCAGAACAUUUUCGAUUUCGUAGAGAUUGUGCCGUGUUUUUAUUGUUUUUGUAUGCCAUCUCCUUUGAAUUUGAUGGUAUAGUGGAUCACAAUCUGCAAUUUCUUACUCUUCCUAUUCUUUGUCUUGAUUUUGGAAACUGCAUAUGCAAAUAAUGUACGUGGGAAAUAUGAUGUUCUAAUUACACUCUGAUUCUUCUCCUAGAUAUGUUUCUUGCCCUUGGUUUUUGGAAACUGCUUAUGUUUGAUCAGAAGUGGUAGGAUAUAACAUUUCUUUUUCCGGAGUAUACCCCGCUUUCUCAUGUUUGAUCCUUCAGCCUGGUUGUUACUUAAACGCCUGUUCUUCAAAGCAAAAGUGGAAUUAAACUUUGGAAUGUUACUAAACCAACCCCUCAUAUAUCCUCUUCUUCUACUUAGUCGUUUCCUUUCUGCUAUUAUGUGUGGAUUUCAUUUUGGGUUUUCUACUCGAUAAUUUUUAAAUUUUUUAUGCACUCAAAGUAUUUGAUGAGCAUGCCUGCCGUGGUAAAACUGGUGCUGGAAAUAAUCGAGAGAUGGAUUUCAAAAGUUUUCUUGACUUUGUUCUGGCCAUUGGGAACAAAGACACCCCAGAAGGAUUAACAUAUUUGUUUCGCUGCUGCCUCGAUCUUAAUGGUAGAGGAUUCCUCACAAUGGCAGCAGAUAUUCACUCUCUUUUCAGGGAUGUACAGCAGAAAUGGAUCAAAGGGGGCAAUUAUGAAUUGUUUAUCGAGGAUGUUCGGGAUAAAAUUUGAGAUAUGGUAAAGCCAGUUGAAUAUUACGUUGGCGUUUACCUCCUAGCUUGUAAACAGGGUGGCAUGCUCGUAGAUGUUUAUCUUCAAAUCCAGAACAAGGAGCAGCCAAUCUCCACUCUAUUUCCUCUAGUUCUGUCAUAGACAUCCUACUACAGUUGCUGAUUACGAAAGAGCUUGCAAAAGACGGGAAAAAGGUAGACGAGAAAAGCAGAGCCAUCGAGCAUAAAACUCGUGCCGUUGCUUUUGCAUUGGACUGUGAGGCGGAUGCUACCUAUCUAGAUAAUUUAGAGAGUUACAACUAAUCCCCUUGCUUUCAUGAAAAUUGCUUUGCCACAAUUAUUUCACAUUUUAUACGUCAUGUUUCUUGA